rnacentral:rRNA from 1 species
UUUUUCCUACGGGACGCAGCAGUAGGGAAUUUUCGUCAAUGGGCGCAAGCCUGAACGAGCGAUGCCGCGUGAGUGAAGAAGGCCUUCGGGUCGUAAAGCUCUGUUGCGGGGGAAAAAAGGCAGCAUCAGGAAAUGGGUGCUGACUGAUGGUGCCCCGCCAGAAAGUCACGGCUAACUACGUGCCAGCAGCCGCGGUAAUACGUAGGUGGCGCGCGUUAUCCUGAAUGAUUGGGCGUA